GGGAAUUCCCAGUCUGGUGCCAGCAGCCGCGGUAAUUCCAGCUCUAAUAGCGUAUAUUAAAGUUGUUGCAGUUAAAAAGCUCGUAGUUGAAUUUCGGGGUCAGUAGGUUGGUCAUGCCACUGGUAUGUACUGGUCUCACUGAUUCCUCCUUCCUGAUGAACUGUAAUGCCAUUAAUUUGGUGUUGCAGGGAAUCUGGACUGUUACUUUGAAAAAAUUAGAGUGUUUAAAGCAGGCUAACGCCUGAAUACAUUAGCAUGGAAUAAUGAAAUAGGACGUUCGAUCCUAUUUUGUUGGUUUCUAGGAUUGACGUAAUGAUUAAUAGGGAUAGUUGGGGGCAUUAGUAUUCAAUUGUCAGAGGUGAAAUUCUUGGAUUUAUUGAAGACUAACUACUGCGAAAGCAUUUGCCAAGGAUGUUUUCAUUAAUCAAGAACGAAAGUUAGGGGAUCGAAGACGAUCAGAUACCGUCGUAGUCUUAACCAUAAACUAUGCCAACUAGGGAUCGGAUGAUGUUAAUUUUUUAAUGACUCAUUCGGCGCCUUACGGGAAAC
rnacentral:rRNA from 1 species